UACUCAACAAUAACGUAAUUAUUACCUUUGUUUGCAGUUAAUUUAAGAAACACUGUUUCAAGUUUAUCCACAGAGUGUCCAAUUGAAGACGACCAGAGAAGGAUGUUGAAAUAAAGAACUUUCUUAACACACUGGGAAGUUGGGGAACCUCUCCUUCCAGUCACGAGGCCCUGCCCUGCAGCAGCCGACCUGGAAAACCAGACCCCAGCCCCUGCAGCAAUGGGCUCCAGGAUUCAGUGCGUGGCUUUUCCCACGCUACCCAGACAGUGGUCCAUACGGCACUGUCUGGAUUCUUGUCAUAACGGGAAGUGAAUCUUUUACACUAUCCUGGGUCCUUGCUGUCCAGCAAAUGAAGGACGACGUCAUCACGUUCCUUGCAGUAGGGGCCCACUUAGGUGGCACCGACCUUUACUUCCCAACGGAGCAGUACAUCUACAGAAGGAAAAGUGACGGCGUCUACACUAGGAAUCCGAAGAGAACCUGGGAGAAGCUUCUGUAGGCAGCUCAUGCCAUCGUUGCCACUGAAAACCCAGCUGCUGUCCCUGCUGCGUCCUCCAGGAACCUUCGCCAGCGAGCUGAGCUGCAGUUUGCUGCCGCUUCGCUCCUGGAGCCUCCACUAACCAGACCCAGGCAGCUUCCAGGAGCCAAGACUCCUGGUGGUUACGAGGCCAGGGCUGACCGCCAGCCUCUCCCAGAGGCAUGUAUGUGAACUUCUUACCAUCGGUCUGUGUGACACGGACUCUCCUCUGCACUCUGGAGACCACCCAUUCCCAGCAACCAGGGAGCUGUCGGUGGGUCUGACUUGGCGGAUGCUCACUCGGGAAGUUCUGCCCGUGCGCGGCACCGUUUCCUGUGAACACUCUUGGGAGGUCGUGCCUGAUCUCUACAUCUGCAGAUUCUGAAGAGAUUAAAAGGGAAGAGCAGGUGCCAGCUGAGCAAGCUGUGACCAAGGAGGACUUCACCGUGAAUGGGUCACUUCAGCAGCUGAGUGCAACGCUACUGGAUCUGAGGUGCUGGCCUAGUCCACAGGCGGGCAGGUGAGCUUGCUGCCCACUCCACAGUUCCCCCUGAAGGCUGGCCUGCAGCGCCCACUGCUCAGGCCACUGGACUGGUAGGCACAGAACUGCGUGGGCUUCAGCUGUUCUUUCACAGGCUCUUUUCUUGGGUGGGGGCUGUGCUGGGUCCUUGCUGCUGCACAGGUGUGCUCUGGUUGCGGUGAACAGGGAGCACUCUGGUUGUGGUGCCUGGCCUUCUCGUUGCAACGGCUUCUCUUGUUAUGGAGCGUGGGCCCCAGGGCCCCCAGGCUUCAGUGGUGGCAGAGCGUGGGCUCAGUGGCUGUGGCCCCCAGGCUGUGGAGCACAGGCUCGAUGGUUGUGGUGCAUGGCCUUAGUUCCUCUGAGGCACGUGGGAUCUUCCUGGACCAGGGAUUGAACUCAUGUCUCCUGCAUUGGCAGGAUUCUUUACCAUGAGCCAUUAUGGAAACCCCACAAGCUCUUAAAAUGGAAAUUGGUUAACAGAAAAUAAGCAGUUUCUAAGUAAAUAAAUAUAUCUACUCAUGAGAAUGUUCUGUGACU
rnacentral:lncRNA from 1 species